GUAUGCCCAUGCGUGCAGCGACUAGGCCGUUAGAUUUCAGUGGCGAAAAAUUAAUACAAGCAGGCCUCGGCAACUGGUUAGAUGGAAAUCAGAUCAGGUGGUCCAUUUUCUAAAUUCUCUUUCGGUGAAUCAGCGUCCUGUCUAGUCAAGUCAAUCUUGUUAGGUUUGGGACUUCCGACAACAAAAUAUAAACUUUUAAAACGCUGUUUUCUACUUUUCCUUACACCGAAAAGCGUUUCCCUGCCCCCCAAUCGCAGCUCUGGUCUAUCAUGUACACGUUUCAGAUACCACG
rnacentral:misc_RNA from 1 species